GAAAUGCGAUAAGUAAUGUGAAUUGCAGAAUUCAGUGAAUCAUCGAAUCUUUGAACGCACCUUGCGCUCCUUGGUAUUCCUUGGAGCAUGCCUGUUUGAGUAUCACGAAAUCUUCAAAGUAAAUCUUUUGUUAACUCAAUUGGUUUCUACUUUGGUAUUGGAGGUCUUUGCAGCUUCACACCUGCUCCUCUUUGUUCAUUAGCUGGAUCUCAGUGUUAUGCUUGGUUCCACUCGGCGUGAUAAGUUAUCUAUCGCUGAGGGCACUGUAAAAGGUGGCCAAGGUAAAUGCAGAUGAACCGCUUCUAAUAGUCCAUUGACUUGGACAAUACUUUUAUGAUCUGAUCUCAAAUCAGGUAGGACUACCCGCUGAACUUAAGC
rnacentral:misc_RNA from 1 species